rnacentral:rRNA from 1 species
GNAACAGGGGCGCUUGCGCCCGCUGACGACCGGCGCACGGCCUGCGUAACGCGUAUGCAAUCUACCUUUUACAGGGGGAUAGCCCANAGAAAUUUGGAUUAAUACCUCAUAGCAUAUGGUCUUGGCAUCAAGACCAUAUUAAAGAUUUAUCGGUAAAAGAUGAGCAUGCGUUCUAUUAGCUGGAUGGUAAGGUAACGGCUUANCAUGGCGACGAUAGAUAGGNGCCCUGAGAGGGGGAUCCCCCACACUGGUACUGAGACACGGACCAGACUCCUACGGGAGGCANNAGUGANGAAUAUUGNACAAUGGGCGGGAGCCUGAUCCAGCCAUGCCGNGUGCAGGAAGACUGNCCUAUGGGUUGUAAACUGCUUUUGUAC